GAGCGCCGUAUGAAGCGAAAGUUUCACGUGCGGUGUGGGUGAGGGGAAAACAUGGAGAUCACUUCAAAGUGUUACCUAUUCACAU
rnacentral:ncRNA from 1 species